rnacentral:rRNA from 1 species
UACGGAGGGUGCAAGCGUUGUCCGGAUUUAUUGGGUUUAAAGGGUGCGUAGGCGGCUUAUUAAGUCAGGGGUGAAAGACUGCAGCUCAACUGUAGCAGUGCCUUUGAUACUGAUGAGCUUGAGUACAGAUGAGGCUGGCGGAAUGGGUGGUGUAGCGGUGAAAUGCAUAGAUACCAUCCAGAACACCGAUUGCGAAGGCAGCCGGCUAAACUGUAACUGACGCUGAGGCACGAAAGCGUGGGGAGCAAACAGG